rnacentral:rRNA from 1 species
UGGGGAAUAUUGCACAAUGGAGGGAACUCUGAUGCAGCGACGCCGCGUGAACGAAGAAGGCUUUCGAGUCGUAAAGUUCUUUUACAUGGGAAGAUAAUGACGGUACCAUAAGAAAAAGCCCCGGCUAACUACGUGCCAGCAGCCGCGGUAAUACGUAGGGGGCUAGCGUUGUCCGGAAUCACUGGGCGUAAAGGGUUCGCAGGCGGAAAUGCAAGUCAGGUGUAAAAGGCAGUAGCUUAACUACUGUAAGCAUUUGAAACUGCAUAUCUUGAGAAGAGUAGAGGUAAGUGGAAUUUUUAGUGUAGCGGUGAAAUGCGUAGAUAUUAAAAAGAAUACCGGUGGCGAGGGCGACUUACUGGGCUCAUUCUGACGCUGAGGAACGAAAGCGUGGGUAGCAAACAGG